UACGAAGGGUGGCAAGCGUUAAUCGGAAUUACUGGGCGUAAAGGGUGCGUAGGCGGUUGUUUAAGUCUGUCGUGAAAUCCCCGGGCUCAACCUGGGAAUGGCGAUGGAUACUGGGCAGCUAGAGUGUGUCAGAGGAUGGUGGAAUUCCCGGUGUAGCGGUGAAAUGCGUAGAGAUCGGGAGGAACAUCAGUGGCGAAGGCGGCCAUCUGGGACAA
rnacentral:rRNA from 1 species